GGAGGAUGCGAGCGUUAUCCGGAUUUAUUGGGUUUAAAGGGAGCGCAGACGGGACUUUAGGUCAGCUGUGAAAUUUUCCGGCUCAACCGGGAAACUGCAGUUGAUACUGGCGUCCUUGAGUACGGUCGAGGCAGGCGGAAUUCGUGGUGUAGCGGUGAAAUGCUUAGAUAUCACGAAGAACCCCGAUUGCGAAGGCAGCCUGCCAGACCGCAACUGACGUUCAUGCUCGAAAGUGCGGGUAUCAAACAGGAUUAGAUACCCUGGUAGUCCGCACGGUAAACGAUGGAUGCCCGCUGUUGGUCUGAAUAGGUCAGCGGCCAAGCGAAAGCAUUAAGCAUCCCACCUGGGGAGU
rnacentral:rRNA from 1 species